CUACGGGACGCUGCAGUUAGGAAUAUUGGACAAUGGGCGCAAGCCUGAUCCAGCCAUGCCGCGUGAGUGAUGAAGGCCUUCGGGUUGUAAAACUCUUUAGCCGAUGAUUAUAAUGACUGUAGUCGGAAAAUAAGCCCCGGCUAACUUCGUGCCAGCAGCCGCGGUAAUACGAAGGGGGCGAGCGUUAUUCGGAAUCACUGGGCGUAAAGCGUGCGUAGGCGGUUUAGUAAGUUAGGAGUGAAAGCCCAGGGCUUAACCUUGGAAUUGCUCUUAAAACUACUAGACUUGAAUCUCGGAGAGGAUAGCGGAAUUUCCAGUGUAGCAGUGAAAUGCGUAGAUAUUGGAAGGAACACCAGUGGCGUAAGCGGCUAUCUGGACGAGUAUUGACGCUGAGGCACGAAAGCGUGGGGAUCAAACAGGAUUAGAUACCCCUGUAGUC
rnacentral:rRNA from 1 species